GAGUUUGAACCUGGCUCAGGAUGAACGCUGGCGGCGUGCUUAACACAUGCAAGUCGAACGGGGAUGCCAUUUUUGAAGCGAUUAGCUUGCUGAGAGUGGAAAUGUUGGCAUCUUAGUGGCGGACGGGUGAGUAACGCGUGGGGAACCUGCCCUGUACAGGGGGAUAACACUUAGAAAUAGGUGCUAAUACCGCAUAAGCGCACAGUAUCGCAUGAUACAGUGUGAAAAACUCCGGUGGUACAGGAUGGACCCGCGUCUGAUUAGCUGGUUGGCGGGGUAACGGCCCACCAAGGCGACGAUCAGUAGCCGGCCUGAGAGGGUGAACGGCCACAUUGGGACUGAGACACGGCCCAAACUCCUACGGGAGGCAGCAGUGGGGAAUAUUGGACAAUGGGGGGAACCCUGAUCCAGCGACGCCGCGUGAGUGAAGAAGUAUUUCGGUAUGUAAAGCUCUAUCAGCAGGGAAGAAAAUGACGGUACCUGACUAAGAAGCCCCGGCUAACUACGUGCCAGCA
rnacentral:rRNA from 1 species